rnacentral:misc_RNA from 1 species
UAGCAGGAGGAACAAACACGA